GACGAACGCUGGCGGCGUGCUUAACACAUGCAAGUCGAACGGUGAAGCGCCUUCCUUUUUGGUGGGUGUGGAUGAGUGGCGAACGGGUGAGUAACACGUGAGUAACCUGCCCCCUUCUUCUGGAUAACCGCAUGAAAGUGUGGCUAAUACGGGAGAUUCUGGGUCUGUCGCAUGAUGGGUCUGGGAAAGAUAUUGUUUCGGUGGGGGAUGGGCUCGCGGCCUAUCAGCUUGUUGGUGGGUGAUGGCCUACCAAGGCGGUGACGGGUAGGCGGCCUGGGAGGGUGGACGGUCCCACUGCGACUGAGCCGCCCACACGACUCCUGCAGGCGGCAGCAGGGAGGAUUGUUGCACGGUGGGCGCCAUCCUGCUGCAGCGCCGCCGCGUGAGAGAUGGACGCCUUCGGGUUGUGAACCUCUUUCGCCAGUGAAGCAGGCCUGCCUCGUUUGUGGGUGGGUUGACGUUAGCUGGAGAAGAAGCGCCGGCUAACUACGUG
rnacentral:rRNA from 1 species